rnacentral:rRNA from 1 species
GACGAACGCUGGCGGCGUGCUUAACACAUGCAAGUCGAACGGAAAGGCCCUGCUUUUGUGGGGUGCUCGAGUGGCGAACGGGUGAGUAACACGUGAGUAACCUGCCCUUGACUUUGGGAUAACUUCAGGAAACUGGGGCUAAUACCGGAUAGGAGCUCCUGCUGCAUGGUGGGGGUUGGAAAGUUUCGGCGGUUGGGGAUGGACUCGCGGCUUAUCAGCUUGUUGGUGGGGUAGGGGCUUACCAAGGCUUUGACGGGUAGCCGGCCUGGGAGGGUGACCGGCGACAUUGGGACUGAGAUACGGCCCAGACUCCUACGGGAGGCAGCAGUGGGGAAUAUUGCACAAUGGGCGGAAGCCUGAUGCAGCAACGCCGCGUGCGGGAUGACGGCCUUCGGGUUGUAAACCGCUUUCGCCUGUGACGAAGCGUGAGUGACGGUAAUGGGUAAAGAAGCAACGGCUAACUACGUG